rnacentral:rRNA from 1 species
GAUGAACGCUGGCGGCGUGCCUAAUACAUGCAAGUCGAGCGAACAGACGAGGAGCUUGCUCCUUUGACGUUAGCGGCGGACGGGUGAGUAACACGUAGGUAACCUACCUAUAAGACUGGGAUAACUUCGGGAAACCGGAGCUAAUACCGGAUAAUAUUUCGAACCGCAUGGUUCGAUAGUGGAAGAUGGCUUUGCUAUCACUUAUAGAUGGACCUGCGCCGUAUUAGCUAGUUGGUAAGGUAACGGCUUACCAAGGCAACGAUACGUAGCCGACCUGAGAGGGUGAUCGGCCACACUGGAACUGAGACACGGUCCAGACUGCUACGGGAGGCAGCAGUAGGGAAUCUUCCGCAAAGGGCGAAAGCCUGACGGAGCAACGCCGCGUGAGUGAUGAAGGUCUUCGGAUCGUAAAACUCUGUUAUUAGGGAAGAACAAACGUGUAAGUAACUGUGCACGUCUUGACGGUACCUAAUCAGAAAGCCACGGCUAACUACGUG